CGAUCACGUGUGUCACCUAGAAACACGCAAUGUUCUUUUGAACUGUUCUUUCUUCUUGGACCCCAUGGAUAGCACCUGGCUCCGAUGAGAUGCUAUAUAUACAUACACGCGACAGCAGAGAAGAACAUAACACUCUUCUGGAGAUCAGACAUGGGUUCGAGGAUAGCUUUCUCUUGUUGUGCUCUGCUACUGGUCACACUGCUGCCUCUUUCGGCGAAUGCGUCGAGCAAACUCUACAUAGUGUACAUGGGGGAGAAGAAACAUGACGAUCCAUCUGUUGUGACCGCGUGGCACCAUGACAUACUAACCUCCGUACUUGGGAGCAAGGAUGAAUCCUUGAAGUCGAUGGUUUACAGUUACAAGCACGGAUUCUCUGGGUUCGCGGCAAUGCUCACCAAAACCCAAGCAAGGACUUUGGCAAACUUUCCUGAAGUUAUAAGUGUGAAACCUAACACCUACCACAUGGCGCACACAACUCGGAGCUGGGACUUCCUUGGCCUUGGGCACAACAAAUCACCACAACAAACUGACCUCCUACGAAAAGCGAAUUACGGUGAAGAUAUCAUUGUCGGGGUGAUCGAUUCAGGCAUAUGGCCUGAAUCACAAAGCUUUGACGACAACAGAUACGGCCCUGUGCCGGCACGGUGGAAAGGCAUAUGCCAGACCGGAACAGCGUUCAAUGCAUCGAGUUGCAAUAGAAAGAUCAUCGGCGCACGGUGGUACUCUGAGGGAAUUGACGCCAUGCACCUCAAGGGUGAGUACAUGUCGCCUCGGGAUUUCAACGGCCAUGGAACUCAUGUUGCCUCGACGAUUGCCGGAGGAGAAGUGCAAGGUGUGAGUUAUGGCGGCCUAGCCACCGGCAUGGCACGUGGCGGGGCACCGCGUGCACGGCUAGCAAUUUACAAGGUGUUAUGGGGCCCGAACACGGCAGCCAGUGACGCGGACAUCCUCGCAGCCAUUGACGAUGCCAUACAAGAUGGCGUGGAUGUCCUGUCGCUCUCACUGGGACGGGUGCCGGUCACGAGUUCCCCGGGACACUUCAUGCAGUCUUGAGAGGGAUCUCAGUUGUCUUCUCUGCCGGGAAUGAUGGUCCGGCACCACAAAUGGUGACGAAUGUCAUGCCAUGGGUGACGACAGUGGCAGCUAGCACGAUGGACCGGGCCUUCCCAACCCUCAUAUCUCUCGGAAACAAAGAAAAGCUUGUGGGACAAUCUCUUUACUACAACUCAACUCUGAACAGCGACGGCUUCAAGGAGCUUGUUCACGCGGGAAGCUGCACCGCGGAGUGGUUAGCGUCAAACAACGUGACCGGCAAGAUCGUCCUGUGCUAGGCACCAAGGCUGGCGCCCAGCGUGCUGCCUCGAGUAGAGCUGUCCCUCACCAUCAACCGUACUAUGGGUGUCGGAGCCAAGGGCCUCAUCUUUGCACAGUACCCCACGAACCUCCUGCCGAUAUGCAAGGGCGGCAUGCCCUGUAUUGUAGUAGACUACGAAAUUGCACAGAGAAUUGAAUCAUACUUGGCGACCACAGAGAGUCCAAUCGUGAAGGUGUCACCUGCCAUGACCGUUGUCGGAGACGGGGUGUUGUCGCCAAGGGUUGCUUCAUUCUCGUCCAGAGGCCCGAGUCCUCUAUUCCCAGGCAUACUCAAGCCCGACAUAACUGCACCAGGCGUCGGCAUCUUGGCAGCUAUGCGCGGCUUCUAUGUGUUAAUGGAUGGUACAUCAAUGGCAUGCCCACAUGUCUCUGCAGUUACCGCACUUCUUAAGUCGGUUCACCCUGACUGGUCGCCUGCUAUGAUCAAGUCUGCAAUCGUCACCACAGCAUCAGCGACCGAUCAAUUCGGUGAGCCAAUCGAAGCGGAGUCGGUGCCGAGGAAGGUGGCUGAUCCCUUCGACUUCGGUAGUGGCCACAUGGAUCCUGACAGAGCCGCUAACCCUGGCUUGGUUUACGAUGUGGAUGCAAGAGAGUACAACAAGUUUUUUAAUUGCACCCUUGGAUCGUUCCAUGGUUGCGAGUCCUACCAACUCAAUCUCAAUCUCCCGUCGAUCGCUAUUCCAGACCUCAAGGACCACGUCACGGUUCAACGCACUGUCACAAAUGUGGGGGCAGUCGGAACAACUUAUCAUGCGGUACUUGAAGCUCCAGCAGGGGUGAUCAUGUCCGUGGAGCCAUCUGUGAUCACAUUCGCCAAAGGAGGUAGCACAAGCAUGACAUUCACAGUGUCGUUCGCUACAAAGCGGAGAGUGCAAGGUGGGUUUACCUUUGGGAGCUUGACAUGGUCAGAUGGAAAUACACACUCGGUUAGAAUUCCCGUCGCAGUAAGGACUGUGAUACAAGACUUUGUUGCGGAUAUAUCUUAAAUACAUCAACUCAAUAGUGUGUCAUUGUUCAUGCACUCAUGUACUUGGCAUCGAAAAAUGUAGGGAACACUAAAAAUCAUUUUCUUACAAUAGUAUGAAAUAAACAUGGUAGUCCUCCAUGAUUACUGAGAUGUAUUGAUCCUUUUAUAUGUCUAUAUACUAGCAAAA